rnacentral:rRNA from 1 species
UACGUAGGGUGCUAGCGUUAUCCGGAUUUACUGGGCGUAAAGGGUGCGUAGGUGGUCUUUCAAGUCGGUGGUUAAAGGCUACGGCUCAACCGUAUUAAGCCGCCGAAACUGGAAGACUUGAGUGCAGGAGAGGAAAGUGGAAUUCCUAGUGUAGCGGUGAAAUGCUUAGAUAUUAGGAGGAAUACCAGUGGCGAAGGCGACUUGCUGGAAUCUAACUGACGCUGAGGUACGAAAGCGUGGGGAGCAAACAGG